AGGGUGUAGAACUUAGAUGCUGAGCUGGUGAUAAACCAUCACAUUGAAUGAGUGGUAGUUUGUUUUCUAAGGGAGUCAGUGGAAGUUUGUUUUCCAGGGAAGUUAGUGGAACUUUGUUUUCCAGGGGAGUUGCUGGAAGAGGGCUUAAUGGGAGAUGAUUCAAUGGUCGCAAGCAAGCAAGGUAACCACGUGAUUGAUUGUUGCAAAUGGGGAGUUUGA
rnacentral:misc_RNA from 1 species